rnacentral:rRNA from 1 species
UGCAUAAUGGCUUAACAAGAUGAUGCUAUAUAACCUAACACGAAGAGAAGCGAGCUAAUUAACACAAGAGUAUUAGGCGUGUGCUUAGCGUGUAGCAUUACUCUAUUAAUAUGAUUAAUUAGGGGUGAAAGGCCUGUCAAGUUUCUGAAUAUCUUGAUGAAGGAGAAAUCUAUGUAGUAUAAGAUAAUCUGCGAGUGAUUAGAUUAGCAGAGCUAAUUAAAUAUAGUAUAGUUUGAAGUACAUUACUUAAUAGUAAAUAUAUAGACUCCGUAGUAUUAAUUGUACUGUUUUAUAGGUAUCUAUCCUUUACAACACAGUAUCUAUAAGGUGUUCUUUAACUGUUAAUAUUAGUAUAUUAUAAAUCCUCUUAAAGGAACUCGGCAAACUGCUAGCUCAACUGUUUAACAAAAACAUAACCAGGUGUAGCUGGAUACUUGGCGUUUUCUGCUCAAUGAAACUUAAAUAGCCGCAGUACCCUGACUGUGCAAAGGUAGCAUAAUCAGUUGGCUUAUAAUUGAAGUCUUGUAUGAAGGAAUAAAUGGGUUACAACUGUCUCUACAGAUAAAUAGCGAAUUUACUUAAUAAGUGAAAAUACUUAUAGUUUUUUAAAAGACGAGAAGACCCUAGAAAUUUUAAUAAAAGCUAUAAAGAGUUAUAUAUGAGUUUUUACUGGGGCGGUAAGGUAACAGAGAAACCUACGUUUAACUACUAAGAAGCUUAUUUUUAGGAAAAACAUAAUUACUCUAGGGAUAACAGCAUAAUUUUAGAAAGUUUGUGACCUCGAUGUUGGACUAGGGUUUACAAUGCUCAGAAGGCGUUGUUACUCGUUCUGUUCGAACGAUCUC